rnacentral:tRNA from 2 species
GCCGGCGUAGCUUAGUCUGGUGGAGCACCCGGCUGUUAACCGGGCGGUCACCGGUUCAAAUCCGGUCGCCGGCG